rnacentral:rRNA from 1 species
UACGGAGGAGGCAAGCGUUAUCCGGAAUUAUUGGGCGUAAAGGGUCCGCAGGUGGCAAUGUGUGUCUGCUGUCAAAGAAUGAGGCUUAACCUCAUCAAGGCAGUGGAAACUACAUAGCUAGAGUACGGUCGGGGUAGAAGGAAUUCCUGGUGUAGCGGUGAAAUGCGUAGAGAUCAGGAAGAACACCGGUGGCGAAAGCGUUCUGCUAGACCUGUACUGACACUGAGGGACGAAAGCUAGGGGAGCGAAUGGG